CUACGUAGGGUGCGAGCGUUAAUCGGAAUUACUGGGCGUAAAGCGUGCGCAGGCGGUUUUGUAAGACAGUGGUGAAAUCCCCGGGCUCAACCUGGGAACUGCCAUUGUGACUGCAAGGCUGGAGUGCGGCAGAGGGGGAUGGAAUUCCGCGUGUAGCAGUGAAAUGCGUAGAUAUGCGGAGGAACACCGAUGGCGAAGGCAAUCCCCUGGGCCUGCACUGACGCUCAUGCACGAAAGCGUGGGGAGCAAACAGGAUUAGAUACCCUGGUAGUCCACGCCCUAAACGAUGUCAACUGGUUGUUGGGAAUUUAUUUUCUCAGUAACGAAGCUAACGCGUGAAGUUGACCGCCUGGGGAGUACGGCCGCAAGGUUAAAACUCAAAGGAAUUGGCGGGG
rnacentral:rRNA from 1 species